rnacentral:rRNA from 1 species
ACUCCUACGGGAGGCAGCAGUGGGGAAUAUUGCACAAUGGGCGCAAGCCUGAUGCAGCCAUGCCGCGUGUGUGAAGAAGGCCUUCGGGUUGUAAAGCACUUUCAGUUGUGAGGAAGGUGGUGUCGUUUAAAUAGGCCGGCAUCCAUUUGACGUUAGCAACAGAAGAAGCACCGGCUAACUCCGUGCCAGCAGCCGCGGUAAUACGGAGGGUGCGAGCGUUAAUCGGAAUUACUGGGCGUAAAGCGCAUGCAGGUGGUUUGUUAAGUCAGAUGUGAAAGCCCGGGGCUCAACCUCGGAACUGCAUUUGAAACUGGCAGACUAGAGUACUGU